AAAGCUUUAAGUUAUCAAAACUUAUAGCCUUCAAAGCUGUCAAGAGGAGUAGAAUCUCCUAAGCUUUA